GACGAACGCUGGCGGCGUGCUUAACACAUGCAAGUCGAACGCUGAAGCACCAGCUUGCUGGUGUGGAUGAGUGGCGAACGGGUGAGUAAUACGUGAGUAACCUGCCCUUGACUCUGGGAUAAGCCCGGGAAACUGGGUCUAAUACUGGAUGCUACAUGUCACCGCAUGGUGGUGUGUGGAAAGGGUUUACUGGUCUUGGAUGGGCUCACGGCCUAUCAGCUUGUUGGUGAGGUAAUGGCUCACCAAGGCGACGGCGGGUAGCCGGCCUGAGAGGGUGACCGGCCACACGGGGACUGAGACACGGCCCGGACUCCUACGGGAGGCAGCGGUGGGGAAUAUUGCACAAUGGGCGAAAGCCUGAUGCAGCGACGCCGCGUGAGGGAUGACGGCCUUCGGGUUGUAAACCUCUUUCAGCAGGACAGAAGCCACAAGUGACGGUACCUGCAGAAGAAGCGCCGGCUAACUACGUGCCAGCCGCCGCAGUAA
rnacentral:rRNA from 1 species